AGUCGUGAGAGAUGGAAGCCUGCACUGCAGAGGUAGCGUUUAUCGUCUGGUAACUGACACCGUUUGCGCAAAUAGAGCUCAAAUACUGGACUUGUUGAUCAAAUAGCACGGAAAAGCCGCCAGAGGCUUAUGCUCGCCCAUACCGUAUUUUGAGGCUACACGUGUCUGGGGCUGUCCCUGGUCACGGACGCGUCAAGAACGCGCGUAUUCCAGAGAGCGCUCGCUCAAACGCGAUACAAUCAGGCUGCACUGUUAUGAACGCCACGACGACGACUCCUGUCGCUGAACAUCAAGGCGGUUAAUGGACGCGAUGUCUCCUGGAGAAGCACCCGCGAAGACGGCGACGAGGAUGCUCUGUGCGUUCCCCCAGGAGCAUACACUUGCGACAUGCAAUCGAUGACACAAAACCCCUGCCCGUAGCACAGAACUCUUGCGUCAGCGCAUAUCGCCCAGUCCGGCGCCAAGCAAACUCGCCUUACAGCUGAUUUGCUGCAUUGACGUGCGAGACGGGGGCUAGCGCGCUAGGCACCGUCGGCUGCCCAGGAGCCACGGAUGUGUUCCCAGUCACAACGAAUCGGUGAGGAUGCGCUCCAAAGUGAGGCAUGAGUCCUCAGACCGGCACCCUCGACGCGGCUUGCCCCGUUGGCAUCGAUACUCGCUGCACACUCGAUUGGCCAAGCGUAAGAUGCUUCGAGCAUCGCUCCCGAACCCCAUUCUGGCGUUCGUAAGAAUGGAUCAAAAUACGGAUCGAAAAGCAGCAUAUGGAUCGGGUUGUAGCGCUCGUCGAGAUCUACAGUAUUCGGCGGUAGGCGACCGCGGAGUGAGCGAUCUGCUGUAUCGCGGCAGUUGGGAUGAACGCAACGCUCGAAAAACUCCAUGGCAUCACGCUCCUCGGGCAAGAGCAUGUCCUGAGCGCCUCGCUCCACCGAGGUCGACAGCGCCGAGGUCCCUGAUGGCCGCUGCGUCUCCCAGCGGCGCCGAAUCAAGUGCUGGACGACCUCACGGAGAUUGCUUAACCGCAUUUGGAUGUCGCCAUACCAGUCUCGUUCACUGUUGAUCCGAUAACAGUGGUAACGGGAUUGACGCUCGAAAAAGUCUACUGUGGCGUUGCUGAUGAGCGGCUCGAUGCAGGCAAAAUCAAAAUCGGCGAUCACGGCCUCGUACGGUUGUUCGGGGCGCAACCCAAGAUACCAAAUGUGACCUUCAAACGCGUAUCGGCGGUAACGCACAGGGCCAGCCUCUGGGGCGCUCGAUGGACGCACCAGCUGCAGCGUCGAUGCUGGUGUCCGUGCACCAGCGCCAGCGAGACCAACCAAGACCUGACACGUGCCAAGGCACGCAGUCGUGAGCGAACCACGCCGUCGAAGCAUAACGUUGGCAAGCGAGAGGUCGUUAUGCUUCCAGUUCGGAUGGAAGCGCAGAAGCACGGCAAGCGUGAACACAAUCUGAAAAGUGAGCUCACGCACGGCCGAAAUGUCGAUUCCCGGUGCAGUGCCCCGACAGAGGGCGUGAAAGAGCGUUCCACCGGUGCAACGCUCCAUGCGAGAAUACUGCAGCGCUCAGGAUCGCGGUUUUAACGCCGCUCUAUCCACUGACGAAGCUCGGUUGCGGCGGUACCGCUUCGCCAGAAGGCCUCGGGGAUGCGCAGCGCGGACAACGGCACAUCGUGGCGCUCCCCGAAAAGAACCGGAAGAUGCGAGGUUGCCCGUCCUACCAGGAGCGUCCUCAUUAGUAGACGCAUCAUAGCCGGCUCGCUUCGCGUGGGGUGCAUGAAGAGUGCGGUUCGAAAUCCGGUUUCGUAGAGAGAUACUUUGAUCGCAACUUGUGGAAACCACCGAGACAGGAGCACCAGGCCAACUGCGCCGGCGCCCAAGGCCUGCAGCCAUUCCGCGUGCCGCAGGAUCUUGUCGAGGAGCUCAUCGCCGUGGAGGCUGCCCGACGGUGACAAUCUCAGGGAACGACGCAGCGGGCCGCUUUGGUAACGGGCGUCGACGACAUCAGAGGUCUCUUGUUGCAGCGAAUGUGGGGUCGCUGGCGAGGUUAUCGCGGACUUUGGCGGUGGUGUCGGCAACGCGGUCGCCUCGUCGACCACCAGAGGCAGCCGCAUUUGCUUCGAGCCGCCCGGAUCUGCGUCAGCGUACCGUGGAUCGGUUAGCGGCACGAGGAUGUGAAACGUUGGCGAUGCUCGCCCUGCGGUACCCGGGACCGGUCGAUGGAUCUCCAUACAUGCAUUAUCCGUGAGUAGUCCGCUGCCUGCAGCGUUUUCGCGUAGCUGCAUGGUGGCGGUACCAGUGGGCAAGCUCCAACGAAAAUCCGACACAACUUGCGAUAGCGUGGCGAGUCGUUUCCGCGGAGAAGGACGGCGAUCGGCGUUGUCGCACGCGUCAACGCAGCACACCGGUGGCUCUGACUCGGAGCCGACUGCGCACAGGCACCAGACGACUCGGCUGCAGACGCUUUCCGUGAACUUGUUCUACAAGCGCGUACUCGCUGUGGCGCUACGAGGGCGUUUCGCCUUCGAAACGGUGCGUAAUCGUUGUGUGCAAGUAACAAGUUGCAAACAGGCAACUUCCACCGAACCUCGAGGACCCCAAAGUGCACCUCAACUAUAUGCACACAGUGGCCCACAGCGCUGGGUACCGCUCAGCGAUACCGAGCCACACGUCAAUGGCGAACCAGAUAACAGGCACAGUUGACUUGACCUCGAACCUAAACCUAACCCAAUAUCAACCC
rnacentral:misc_RNA from 1 species